GUGAAGAGAACACCUCUCCAACAUUCCAGACUCCAUUGAAUGUGAACAUUUGCCCACUCAAGUCGGUUAUGAUGACACACUGCAGUCAGGUUGAGAGGACAAUGAG